GGUGAAUAUGUCAUCAUCACCUCCCCAUUUGAACCACAUCGCAAGGGAAGCUUGAGGACAGCACAGAGAAAGAAGUGGCUGCCAGCCCGAUGGAUGCAGAAAUGAAUGCAAAUGUGAAAAAGCAUUACAUAUCCGAGAGUAAAGUGGACCCACAUUUCAAACACCUUUUCACGCAGAUUGCUGGAAAUGACUCAGAAGUGUCUGUGCUUGAACUACAGUAGUUACUGACAAUUCUUUAUAAUAUUUUAAUAUAAAGAAAUAUUAUGUCUAAAAGCAACCUAGUCUCAUAGAAUGAACGUUACUAUAAUUUCAUUUCUGUAAAUUGACUGAAACACUAUGUGCCGCGUUCUACGUUUCAUUGCAGUUUUCUUGUUAAAUGAACACUAGAGGCGCUACAACAACUGCGUUUUAUUCACUUUCACUCAAAUCACAACUACAAUGGCUGAUUAUGACUUUAUAUACACUCCUAAGCACUGGUUAAACGCUGCACUAUUGUCAUUCUUUUCAGA